ACCGGACUGCAUGACCAGAGUGUCCUCGGCAUGUUUGAGUGGUCGGACCGCCACGAGGUGACCUUCACCGACUGGGCCCCGGAAGAACCCAAACACCUGAAAAAGGACUGUGUGGCGAUGUCGCAAAAGGCUGGAAAAUGGAAGCAGAUGAGCUGCAAGAUACCCAACAGCUUCAUGUGCAAGAUGCCCAAAGCGCAUUAUGCAAUCACCUCAGAGAAGGCAGAGGAGAGCCACUCUGGUGACAGCGUACUCUUGCACAGAAGCAAGCUCGCCAAGUCAGCGAAUGCAGUGAGUUGAUUAUUUUCUCUCUCUCUCUCUGCAUCCCACGUUUCUGGACAGGUUGCUGGAUCAGCGGUCGAGCUGAAGGGAGGUCUCCGUGUGAACAACGUCAUCACCAUCACAGGGCGAGCAAAUAAACUGG